rnacentral:piRNA from 1 species
UGCUUAAUGCUUUCCCAGUGCUUUCCAUGG